CAACUGCAUAAGCAGGGUGGGCGGUUGACCACUUCCCGUUGAAGGGAGGUGGUAAAAUGACGACAUACGAAGCAUUAAGUCUAGUCGCUCAAUUCGGUCUAGUGCUGAUAGGAGUGCUGACAUUGAUUGUUACUAUGGUCGUCUAUAUAAACAAAAAGAAAUAACCGUCCUCCCAUGACCAAAGGUAUGACGGUUAUUUCACUGUCAUUAAGGUCAGCCGCUCUUCUUGCGGCAUGUAGUUGCACUGACCGGGUGUUCCCGCACCCGGU
rnacentral:sRNA from 1 species